CGAACGCUGGCGGCGUGCCUAACACAUGCAAGUCGAACGAGAAAUCGGGCUUCGGCCCGUGAGUAAAGUGGCAGACGGGUGAGUAACACGUGGGUAACCUACCCGGAGGUGGGGGAUAACUCCCGGAAACGGGGGCUAAUACCGCAUAACAUCGCGGAGGCUUCGGCUUCUGCGAUCAAAGCUGGCCUCUACAUGUAAGCCAGUACCACCGGAGGGGCUCGCGGUCCAUUAGCUUGUUGGUGGGGUAACGGCUCACCAAGGCUCCGAUGGAUAGCCGGCCUGAGAGGGCGAUCGGCCACACUGGAACUGAGACACGGUCCAGACUCCUACGGGAGGCAGCAGUGAGGAAUUUUGCGCAAUGGGGGAAACCCUGACGCAGCGACGCCGCGUGGAGGACGAAGGCCUUCGGGUCGUAAACUCCUGUCAAGGGGGACGAAAGUCGCAGGGAUGAAUAAGUCCUGCGAUUGACGGUACCUCUGGAGGAAGCCCCGGCUAACUCC
rnacentral:rRNA from 1 species